rnacentral:rRNA from 1 species
UACGUGAGGGUGCAAGCGUUGUCCGGAAUUAUUGGGCGUAAAGAGCUCGUAGGCGGUCUGUCGCGUCUGCUGUGAAAACUCGGGGCUUAACCCCGGGCCUGCAGUGGGUACGGGCAGACUAGAGUGCGGUAGGGGAGACUGGAAUUCCUGGUGUAGCGGUGAAAUGCGCAGAUAUCGGGAGGAACACCAAGGCGAAGGCAGCUCGCUGGGACGGUAC